rfam:Caenorhabditis elegans chromosome X
CAAUUUUUGUACUACACAUAGGUACUGGACAAUUUUCAAAAUAUAUCCAGUGUCUAGUCUAGUGCAAACAUUGC